rfam:Otolemur garnettii contig005678, whole genome shotgun sequence.
UAUGGCAGGGAAGACCUAAGAUGGCAGCCUUUGCUUGCAACUGCUGCGUGCUUACCCUAUGUGGCUGGGAGGCCAAAGGAUGAAUCUACUAAUGAAAGUCCAAAAACAUCCCAGUUUUUGUGAAGUCA